GCGGCAGUUGGGGGAGAGCCGGUAGCCUGUUAAAGAAUGAGGAGCAGUGAUGGAGGACAGGGGGAUCUCUCACCAGUAAAGGAGGUGACCCCCGUCGAAACCAGUUCGGUGAAGUGUGGGAAGCGCUGACACCGGGAGCUGCCGCGGUGGUAGACGCGUGGGUGAGGAGAGACUACAGUCCAGGACUGACAGCGCCUUACCUCUCUCUGCCAGCGCUGAUUGCAUAGGAGGCCAGGAGAGUGAUGGUGUGGAGGGCUGGAGCGCCGGUCAGGCAAGUCGAUCCUCCAAAUUUAGCGGCUGGUAGAAGUAGGGACAGCCUCCCUGAGGAAUCGACGGGGCUAGGCUACAGCACAGACCCAUAGACCCAAAUUCGGUGUGGUAUGACUGGUCUCAACAGGAUUCGAACACGGGAUGCACGCAUUGCAAGCAGACACUGUAACCAUUAUGCCACUGCUGACGACGAUAUGAGCUGGCUCUCCAGGUUGGGACCAGCUAUGACAGAUACCAUCUAAAACUGAUUAAGCAGUGGUAAAUCAAGCAGGUGCUGAAAUAACUGUACACUGGCUGGGACCAGACUAGUACUGAGCGCACUAUGACAGACUGAAACCAGAAGUCCUUCUGCAGGAUAAUACAAAGACCCUAAGAUCUGGAGCCUAGGAACAUAGCUGAUGAGCAAUGCUAUCUGUCAGCACUUCAGGAAACACUUUUUUAGGGACUGAUGGGAUCUGAUUGGUGGGUGGAGACAUGUGUCCCGGGGUUACCUGCAAUUAGAUGACCCAUUCCAAGAUGGCGGUGCCCAGGAGACAGAGACAGUGGGAGAAGACCAGAAGAAGAUGCCAGGCCACGUGUGGCAACACUGAAGCAGGGACAGUGCGGACAAGCAGGAGGACAAUGGACACCCUUGGAACCCAGCAGAAGACCUGCUGACCAGCAGAGAGUUCCUUCUAGGAUAAUCCUAUGGAUUUGACCACGGAGAGAUGAUUCUGAAAAAGACCCUCUCACCAGAUUCACCCAGACAGCAAUAUCACUCGUUAAUCCAUAGCUUCCAAUAAAAUUUAUUAAAAUCUUU